UGGGGAAUAUUGGGCAAUGGGGGGAACCCUGACCCAGCAACGCCGCGUGAGGGAAGAAGGUUUUCGGAUUGUAAACCUCUGUUCUUGGGGAAGAGUAGAAGACGGUACCCAAGGAGGAAGCCCCGGCUAACUACGUGCCAGCAGCCGCGGUAAUACGUAGGGGGCGAGCGUUGUCCGGAAUGAUUGGGCGUAAAGGGCGCGUAGGCGGCCUAUCAAGUCAGUAGUGGAAGUCCAUCUUUCAAGGAUGGAAGUGCUACAGAAACUGAAGGGCUUGAGUGCAGGAGAGGUUAUCGGAAUUCCCGGUGUAGCGGUGAAAUGCGUAGAGAUCGGGAGGAACACCAGUGGCGAAGGCGGGUAACUGGACUGCAACUGACGCUGAGGCGCGAAAGUGUGGGGAGCAAACA
rnacentral:rRNA from 1 species